GAAAAGUAUUGACAAAAAUAAAUGAGUAAGCAAACCCAAAAACCUGUGUAGGAGGAGAGGUAGGAAAUUUCUCCUUCUUCAGGUAUGGCAGACUUGUGCUGCCCUAUUAAGUUCUCUAAGUAAUGAGUUAGCACAGGGAGAAAAAUGAUAGGAAAAGGAAAUGGAGGAACAGCAGCCUCCACCUCAGCUGCCUCCACCUCAGCUUUGCCAUUGCAUCAGCUGCUAGAUUUAGAUUUAAUGGCUGUAGCACAGGCAACCUCUAGUAGAAUGAAGUAUUUGUCUUAUGAUUAUUUCAGCUUUUAACUGAUAGAAUCUCAUUUCAGCUGAGAAGAAUACGAAGGAGCUGCUCCUUCAUAUACGGGUGGGACACUUCUGGACCAGAACUUCUCAGUUCGCAUUGAAGACUCUAAGAUAGAAUUGAGUAUAAUUAUCAUCUGCAAUGACACAUGUGAUGGCACACGUUUGUUUUGAACAAGACGUUAAAAAGAGUGAUUGAAUUUGCAAGAGUGACAAUUGUGACAAUUGAUAAUUGCAGAGAUGUUGCCUCCAUCAUUUUCGCAGUUUUCAUGGAAGUAAAUAGCAGACGUUACUUUCAGAGUGACCUACGUACAUGCCAGACUAAGGACACGUCUGAAUGAGAAACGGUGCCCGAUGCUCAGAGCAACAGGAGUCCACCCCCAGGAAAUCUUGGAGAGAAGUCUGGGUUGGUUUGUAUCUGGAUCAGAAGAAUUGCAAAGAAAAAUCAAUUUUCCUGACAAAGAGCUGAUUUGAACAAGGGGCCAGAAGACAGAAGUACUGUGAGAAAUUAGUGUUGAAUGGAUCUACAACAGAACACUGCAUCUUCAGAAAAGAAGGUCAUAAUAAUGAGAGAUAUGUGGGAAAAGGCAGUAAUUUAUGUUGGUGUCUGAACUCUUAAAUAAUAUUUAAGGUGAAAAUUGGCCUGAUUUCGAAUGAAAUAUUCUGUGCUCAGAUCUUCUUUCUAAAUGUAAUGUAGCUAAAUAUAGACUCAGAACAUUGUUUCAAAACAUUGUUUUUCCACUUAAGGAAAAAAAAAAAAAAAAACCUUUUGAGUUCCCUUGUCCUCCUCUCAUUUUCCCUAAAAUUCUGCCAAAUUUAAUCUGCUUUUACAAAGAGAGCUAGGCAUCUUGUAUUUUUGUAUCAAAUAAAUCAUUCACUCUAAAGGUUUUCAUCCAGCUAAUAAUACAAAUGACCAGAACAGACUGUGCUUUAUACCUUCUAACUGAAGGAGUCAUGUUUCUGACUCUGCUGCUAACUACAGAGCAAGGAGCCCCAGACCUGCCUGCACCCAUCCCAUCCCUUGAAUUCAGAGAAAUAAGAAAUUGAUUUUUGGAACAGAUUAGAUGGAUAAGCAAAUUUUUUGUUGUUGUUGUUGCAAUUCCAGACUUCUCCAAAGCUUACUGGAAUUCAUAUUUUACUGGGUUUUUGUGAGGUAUCUCACACAGUUCCCCCUCCCUCGCUGUGCUGGUGGAUUUACACCCAUGGUUCCCAAGCUCAUGAACUUUGCUUUGCCUUAUUUCCCUCAAGUGAUGGAAUUGUGGACAGAUUUUGGAGUCCCAUCACUGCAAUGCAAAAUAAUAUAUUUUCUCCUGCUAAUAAGUGGAAGCCUGAGGAUUAUUUGGGUUGUUUGCUGCCAGAGUGCUGCACUGAAGCUAGGGAUGGGACAGACACUCAUUAUCUAAACCGUUGUUUUCCCCCAUAUUCCUUUCAGCUGUUCUAGAAUUUGUAUUCUAGUUAUACAAAAUAAAAUUCCUGGGCUGACCCUGGCAGACAACACCAGUUUCAAGCCUGCCUUCCACCAUUUUAGUGUGAAAAUGUGGCUGGAAGACAUCCAAAACUCUGAAGGUUUGUUUCUGUGUAAGACGUGUAAUAUCCAGCUGCCUUUGACUGAAUUUAAUGGCGUAUUUGUAUUUGAAAAAAUCAAUAAGGUUUAUGAGCUGAAGAGGGAUCCAGUGUAACCAGAUCUGUCACUUUUAUGGACACCUUCUGCAAUUCCUUGUGACACAGGAAUCAGGCUAUAGAAACCAUCCUACGCGCCCCUGCAAAACAAGAUUUAGUGCUGUAAACCUCACUGGAGCAGCUCAAGGAGAGGUACAAUGAUAGAGAACAAAGGAGAGCACUGAGAAACAACCCACCACUAAUCAGCCUAGAAGGCCAAUAAGAUCUGAUAGGUUUCUGCAAUAAAACUACCCAAAACCUCCCAGUGGAUUUUCAUACAAUAGAAAUCAAAAGGGCACAUUAGUCAUAAGGCAAGAGAGACACCAAGGGAAAACUUCCUGCUGUCAUGCUUUAAACAGCUUUCUUCUUUAGACAAAAUAGCCAUCAUGCAAAGUUCGUAACGAAUAAAAGUUUUCACUCUUUGUUGAGGUCCAGUCCAAGGUCUGUGCAGCAUUUAAGCCAUACUAUUAUGAGGCCAUAAACGGGGCACUAGUUAUAAAUUAUUUCUUAUUGCUAUUGCCUUUGAGACACCAUAAUACAUAAUGAUCUGUCAUCAACAUUUAUAAAAUACUUCUACUGGAGCAGGCGGACUUUAGUUCCUUUUCAGACUAGUCCUGCUGAUUUCAAUCAUGUCUGUGGUUAUAUCAAAGGUUUAAUUUGCUUUUCACUCCACAUUUCUGUACUUUGCUAGAUUAUCUGGAACCUCUCAUCACAGGGAGGGAAGAUAUAGUGAGAAAUGGAUGGAAUCUUUCCCUUUUUCCUCAUGACAAUUUGUGCUGGUCUCUAAAAAUUAUAUGUUGCUUAAGGCAGCAUCACCACAGAGUUCUCCCAGCACAGUGCCUGUGUGUCUUUGCACUGGAGCAUGUGGCUGCUGAAGGACAGGCACUGGAAAUCUUUAUGAAGCUCAUGCUGCACAGCCACGUGUCCAAUGCAGUGCUUUGUUUGGCCUGAGAUAAGAUUUCUUUUCCUUUGAACUUCUGUUAAGUGUUUGCAAAAUAUUCAUUAUUCCUCAAAGAAAGAAUUUCAUACAGUGUCAAUCACUCCUAGUAAGUCUUGUGUUUAUUUGUAAUCCUGUUUUGUUUUAACCUAAAGUCAAAAAUUCACAAAUAUCUGAUGGGAUUAUUAACACAAAACUGCACAAAGUCCUUUCUUUCAUUUCACAUGAUAAGCAUGAAAACUUAUGUGAGAACUGGUCUUCUGUUGAGUUAAAUUUACAUUUUGUGGAACUUACUACAAUGUGACAUAUUUAAGUUUGUAACUACUGUUUCCAAAAUUUCCAAAAGAGAACAGUCUAUUUUAGCAUUUGAUGCCAAUAAAACAAAAAGACUCAUCUUUACCCAUCUGAAAUUAGUGAUUUUUUCCCGCUGCCUUUUAUAAAGAUAAAACAUAUGCAUUAUCUGUUUUAUUUGAAUGAUAAGAGACUGGCACAGCAUAUCUGACAGAAUAGGCUUGUAUCUUUUGAUGUUCACUAACAGUAAAUAAUAAUUAAUACUUUUUUCAUUGGAUGUGGGACUGUAAGCAGUAAAGACAGUUCUUAAUCAUA
ensembl:lncRNA